rnacentral:lncRNA from 1 species
AAUUAUUACUUAAUAAAAAGUCAAAACUUAUAUUUUCAAGACAGAUUUUCUAUUUAUAGUUUUCUUAACCAUUACCUUGAGGGCGUGGGUUAACAAGACUCUUUUCUUAAAUAAUAAUAUCAGACAAUUUUAUUUUGAGUCCACAAAAAACAGCUUUAAAACAUAAUUUACACGGUUCUUAACUUCUAUGCAUUAGAUAUGUUAUAAUAGAUACCAGUAGUAAGAGUACAUACUUCAUAUAUAUAUUAUUAGUACACAAACUAAUAGAGAGUACAUAUUUUGGGCACUCAAACUACAAACUACUUUAUUUAAACUACACAUAUAUACCCUCCCUUAGCUACAGAAGACUUUGAUUUAAAUAUAAUCACAUGCCUUCGAGCUUUUUUCUACAUACAUACAUACCAUAACAUGAAACUGAGACCCACCUAAAAUUUAAGGCAAAGUAGUGCUUAAAAUUUAAAGGGUCUACCCCAACGAUUUUGGGGUAAUUUUCCCUUGGGGUAACUUACAUUCGAUAUCCCAACAAAGUAAACAGUUCCAUCCUUAGUAGCCCCAUAUGCAAGGUCUUCCAUGCUCCUUCUUGUUGGACCAUAGAACUUGUCUAUUAAAGCAAACCCUUCUAAGCCAAUUUUCCUUAGGUCUGAUGAAGGAGGUGCCAUUGAUGCUAAAUGUUGGAGCUGAAGUAAAUGUUUCUAUUCUAUCAAGUGUGUGUUGGUUUGUUGCUUCAACAAAGGAGAGAGCCACAUCCCCAUUUAUAGGAAAAGAAAAAGUAGAAAGAUUCCCUUAGCAAGAGGAGUAAAACAUAAGUUUUUUAAAAAAAAAUAAAAAAAUAAUAUAUAUAUAUAUAUAUAAUUAAUUAAAUCACAUUAUAAAAUACUAGUGAAAAGACGAUCACGUGCCCGCAUUUCCGCUCCUUUUAUUACGCUAAUGUUUGAAAAUUAUGUACGUUGUUUUUCUUAUGACAUUUUGAUUUUGAUUAACACUGAAAAUAUAAAUGUUUGUUGCUUUUAAGUUAUAACAUAUCAAACUAACCAUGAUUAUCUAUUUUAAUUACACCAACAAUAUAACAAAAAAAUACAAUCGAAAUUCUUUUUUUUUUUUUUAAUGACGCCAACAACAAUCUUUAUUAUAGAAAAAAUUGUUCAAGAGUAUAAUUCGGAUAAUGAAAAAGUAAGUAUAAAUAUAUCCAUCUAGUUUGUUACACUUUUUAAAUAAUAAAGGAAAAAUACACAUACAUAUAUAUAUAUAUAUAUAUAUAUAUAUAUAUAUAUAUAUAUAUAUAUGUGAGAAGGGAUCAAGUUACACCGAUUAAAAGUUACAUCAAUGUUACACCGUUCAAUAUCAUUUUACUCGAUGCAUAUUUUUCAAAUUUGAUCAUUGGAUUGUAAGUGUAUAUCACAUAGAUCAUUCACGUAAAUUUUUACGAAAAUCUAAAAUUGUUUCAUAUGUUAUUGAGAUGCAUCAAGAUUAAUGGUUUAUGCACUUUUAUAUAACACCGUGCUUGUUACGUUACACACACACACACACACACACACAUAUAUAUAUAUAUAUAUAUAUAUUCAUAUCGUGUUUGUUACAUUUUCUUAAUAUUGAAAUUUAUUUUUAUCUAUUUGUUACAUCUGUUAUUUGUAUUGAAAAUUAAGGGUAUUUUUAGAAAGAGAAAAAGUCAAUCCAAAAGAGUCGGAAGGAGUUAUUUUUUUAUAUAUAGUAUAGAUUAUAUUUCUUGAAAAAUCUAACACUUAUACUAAAUUCAACAAUUUAAAAUUCUAACAUUCGAAUUUACUAAAAUACCAUUCCUAAAAAAAACAGAACAUUCAAAUUAUAUUAAAAUACUUCUUAACAUUUGUGCAUAAAAGUGUUAAACUAUAUUAACAAAAAUAAAGUAUCUACAAGUUUUUAAGACAAAUGUAAAAUGAUUUUUAGAAUCAUGUUAAUUAAUAAUUCGUCCUUUUUUUUUUUAAAGAAAAACUACUAUAACAUAACAUAUAAUUCACUCUUCCUGUUCACGCUUUUAGAUGGAAUAUAUUCACAUUUAUCUUUUUUAAAACUUUGAUAUUGCAUAUAAAAAUUGAAAGUAAUCAGAAACUCAAUAGUUAAUUGAGAGUUUGAGACUUUAGAAUAUAUAUAGUGGGAAUAUAGGCCACCCUUAUUGAUCCAAUAUUUAUGCUUUUUGUGGUCCCAUAGAUACCUGGGCAACUCAAAAUAUCACGAAUUUAAAAAGAAAAUUAUGGUUUUCUUCAAAAAAAAUAAAAAAUUAUGGUAGAUAAUCGUGGUUUUAUCUUAAUCUCAAAGUUACUUGGCAAAUUUUUGCACAUAUAAAGUUUUCAUAUUUAAUAAUACUAGCAAUAUAAAUUCUACCAUUCCGCCAAGCCGUGUUUGACCAUUUCUAGACAUAUUUUCAGGCUCAUGUGGAAGGCGGUGGUUUGAUCAAGCUAUUUUCAAAAGAGGAAGUUAAAGCAGCAGUGGGGACUGUGAUAGUUUCAAGAGUCCUGGUCUUGAUUGGGUGAACUUUGGUUUCAUUAAAAACUUUUGGCUUGAUAUUAAGAAGGACAUUAUGCGUUUAUGGUAGAGUUUCAUCGAAAUGGGAAGUUGUCAAGAGGUAUAAAUUCUUCUUUCAUUGCUCUAAUCCUGAAAAUUGAUAACCCGCAAAAAUUGAAUGACUUUCGUCCCAUUUCUUUCGUGGGGAGCCUUUAUAAAAUUUUGGCGAAGGUCCUUGCUAAUAGACUACGCUCAGUGAUUGAUUCUGUUGUUUCGGAAGAACAAUUAACUUUUGUUCAGAAUAGGCAGAUUUUAAGGUGGAUUUUGAGAAGGCAUAUGACUCCGUUGAUUGGGGUAUUUAGAUGAUGUUGUGGAAAGGAUGUCUUUUCGGUUUUAUGGAGAAAAUGGAUUAAAGAGUGCCGCUACGGCUUCUGUGUUAGUGAAUAGCAGCCCCACCGAUGAGUUUCCUUUAGAGAGGGGUAUGCGUCAAGGUGAUUCACUCUCUCCUUUCCUUUUUCUGUUGGAUGUGGAGGGGUUGAAUAUUUUUAUGAAGGCUUUGGUUGAGUCAAAUAUUUCUGGUUAUAAUGUUGGUUCUACACUCUUUGUACCAGUUACUCAUCUACAAUUUACUGAUGAUACAUUGUUUUUGGGUGUAAAGAGUUGGGCAAACGUGCGUGCUACGCGGUCUGUUUUAUGGUGUAAAGUGGGGAAGGUGUCGUUUGUGUAUUUGGGCCUCUUUAUAGGCGGUGAUCCUAGGCGAUUGAUUUUUUGGGAACCGGUUCUGCGAAGCAUCAAGUCUAGACUGUCGGGUUUUAAAAGUUGGUUUUUGUCGUUUGUUGGUCGUUUAAGAUUCCAAUAGACUACGAAAUCGUUAAUAAUGACUUGAUACUGUUGAAAUUUGAGGUCUAACUCGUCAUCACAAAACCGGAUUGUAAGGUGAGGAUUGCCUCAUCUUUAGAAACUCUUCUCAAGAGUCUUGUCUAUCCGAUGUGAAACUUGAGUUUUUCCAAAUAGAUACAAAAUAUUAAAUAUAGUCCCUCUAUAUUGUACAUAGACUCAAAUCUGAAUAAAAUCAAAUCAUAAUCAUAAUAAGAAGUAAUAUAAUAACGUAAGAUGUAAUAUACUGUAAGAUCAUAAAUUGAUCAUAGGAGAAGAUGCUCUAAUAUAUAAUAUAUUAUGAUCUCUAUUGUUAUUAGAUAGGAUUGAAAGAAAGACAUCCAUAUAAAAAGAAAAUAUGUGACCACAAUAUCUCUGAAAUGGUACUUGGCCGAAGCAUGAUAAUCCGCUUCUAUAGAAGACAAUGCUUCUGUUUGGAUAAAGUUUAUUUUAAACUUAUAAAAAUCAAUUUAUGCAAAUAAAUAAAAUUUCAUAUUAAUUUAUAUGUUGUGUCAAAAAAAAUAAUUAAUUUAUAUGUUUUAAUUAACAAAAAUUAUAUCUUCAUAACUAGUUUUUUCAUAAACUACAUCAAUAAACUUAUAAAUAAUAGAAAAAUUUAAUUUUUUGCAUAAACUGUUUUGCAUAAAGUUAAAAUUAGUCUUAUCCAAACGAGCUCAAUGUCCUACAUUUUGCUCAACCAAGAAAUUAGAGAAUCUCAGGAAAAAAAAGACAUAAAAGCAUGUACUAUACUUGCGAGCAGCGGGGUCACCAACCUAAUGAGCAUCAUAGUAAACAUACACUACAAAAAAUGAAAAAUAAAGAAAAAAGAAGACUUUUGAAAUUGGAUACCUCAAAAAUACCGAAGAAUGCAAAGAACAAUGUUCAAUGCGCUUUAGUAAGAGAAACAACAAACUGACAGGCAACAUCCACUGUAUAAGUAACAUAGUGUCUAAUAAUCGUAAGAUACACGAAGAUGUCAACCAAAGUACCAUAUAAAAUGGGAUAUGUUGGGUACCAGAAUAACAAAAUAUUAUCACGUAAUUAUAAUAAAAGAUGAGAAAGGAGGAACCGAACACAAUAUUUACAUGAGAAUUCCUCAACAAACAAGGGGGAAAACAUGGAGCAAGAGUAGAAAAUUUUUACCAAGUAAAAAAAUUACAAAACCUCUCUCUAAAUAUAAGGAGAGUACAAUUACAAUUCUCUCUUAAAAAUAAAAGAAUACUUACACUAGAAGAAACCUUAUAGGAUAAACUAUUCUUUAUCUCUCGGUAUUUUUGCUCUCGCUUUCUCAACUUGUUGUUGUUGUGUUGGCUCACUAAUCUGUGAUGAUUGAAAUGAUACAAUGGGGUUUCUAUUAUAGGAUCAAAAUAUUAUUGUCCAAACCACAUCAAUUAAUUAAUGGCACCUUAAAUAUUUUCAAAAAUUGUCAAAUUUUUUUUGCUCUCAUGAACAUAAUUUCAAAAUUGUGCAGCAAUUACCAACCGGAACUUCUGAUCCAACUUAUUUGAGUUGGCACACAAAUUGCUUUACAUGUUUACAAUCUCUCACUUAAAUCUACUUUUGUGAGCUUCUAAAAUUUCUCUGCCUUGCCAACUCUUGUUGCUAUGUUUCCAAUAGGUCAUACUUCCCAGGAUCGACGCCAUACAAACUUAUUAGCAUUGAUCGGUUUUGUCACCACAUCCGUUAGGUUAUCACUUGUCUGAAUCUUCUGCACAUCCAUACUUCCUUCGUCGACUACUUUUGAACAAAAUGAUAUUGAACACUUAUGUGUUUUGUCCUUGAAUGAAAAAUGAAUUUCUUGCAAUGUGAAAGGCAUUCUAAUUGUCACAAUACAUAGUAAUUUGAUGUUGUUUGUGCCCAAGUUCCUCCAUUAACCUUUGCAUUCAAAUAACUUCCUUGCAAGCAUGGGAAGAUGCCAUGUACUCAGUUUUGUCGUUGACAAAGCUACAUUCUAACUUGGAUAACCAACUUACCGCUCCUCGUAUAAACGUGAACACAUAAUCAGUAGAUUUUAUAUUAUCAUGAUCACUUGUAAAAUCUGAAUCAACAUAACCCUUGUCAUUUAACUCUGAUCCUCCGAAACAUAUUGCAACACUUGAGGUUUCUUUGAUAUAUCUCAAAAUUCAUUUAACAAAUUUAAAGGAUAUUUACCAGGAUAUGCCAUAAACCGACUAACCACUCCCACUAUUUGUGUAGUGUCUGGUCUUGUACAUAUCAUGGAAUACAUAAGGCUUUCCACCAUCAAUGCAUACGGUACUCGAGACAUCUCCAUCCUCACUACUUCAUUUCUAGGACUGAUACCUACGAAUAAUUUAAAAUUCACAGGAAGUGAGGUAGAGAUUAGUUACAAUCUUGCAUGUUAAAGUAUCGCAAGACUUUCCAUAGAUAAUCAUUUUGAGAAAGGUAAAUCUUCUUGUCUUUUUGUAUACAAUGAAUUUGUAUCCUUAAAAUCUUGUUUGCUGGUCCCAAGUCAUAUCGAACACACUAGCCAAUUUUGUCUGCAAUUCCUCGACUCAAUCUUUGUUGGGUCCUACCACCAAUAUGUCGUCCAUACACAACAACAAAAUGAUAAAAUCGUUAUCAUAAAAAAAUUUGCAGUACGUACAAUGGCCUAAACUCAGUCUGUUGUAAUGAAGGCUAAUUAUCAAAGAAUUAAAUAUCUUGUAGCAACAUAUGGACACCUGCUUUCAGCCGUACAAAGAUUUAGUCAACCUACAAACUAAGUUUUCUUUUCCUUCUUCUUUGGAUCUUUCUGGUUGGAGCAUAUAAAUGUCUUCUUCAAUUUCACCAUGAAAAAAAGCAGUCUUUACAUCUAGUUGUUCAAGAUAUAGAGAAAAUAUCUCAUUGAAAUCAAUACCUCUUUUCUGAGUAUAUCCUUUGACAAUCAAUCUUGCACGAUAUCGUCUCACUUGAUCAUUUCCAUCACAUUUUAUCUUGUAUAUCCAUUUGUUUUCGAUGGAUUUUCGAGCCUUUAGAAGUUCAACAAGAUCUCUUGUCUUGUUUCUAUGUAAGGCUUUAAUUUCUUCAUGCACUUUUUCAUCCAUUGAGAAGCAUACGAACAAUUCAACACCUCUUGAUAAUUUAAAGGCUCAUCUUCUUCAGCUAGAAGACAAUAUGCAUUGUGGCUCGCCGUGACAGAGUCUGAUUACUAGGAUGGUUUAUGCAUCUGACGCAUUGAUCGACGAACACCUUUAUCACUUACCUCAUCUAGAUUUCCUUUCACUACUUUCAAGAUUACCAUGAUGGUUUCUGUGAUCUUUUUUGCUUUCAUCACCAGAAGAUUUCCUUUCACUACUUUCAAGAUGCCACUUUCAGUGUGGAUCACACACUCGAGGUCAUCUAAUUGUCCAAUAGAAAAUGAAUCCUUUUUAACUCCUUUUACAUGUCGUACCACUUUUAUUUUAUGAACAAUAUCAUCUUGCAUCUUUAAUAUGAUAGUACCGACUCCAACAAUUUCUAAAGCAUUGUAAUUUCCCAUGCACAAUCAUCCUUUUCAGAUAGGCUCAUAAGAGUAAAACCAACCUCAAAGUGGAGUUGUCUUUCGCCUUUAUAACUAGUUGUUGCUUUGUUAUAUAUGAUUUUACCAUCAUUCAAGAUACUUUCAACACAUCCUUAAGAUGUUGAAGCUGCAGAAGUCUUCUAUCAGUUCUUCUUAUUAUUCCAACACUCAGUCUUUAAGUGCCCUCUCAGACCAUAAUUGUAGCAUUUGAGAUUCUUCCUUCUUCAAUAUUUUUAUCUACCAUGAUUUGACUUCCACUGGGAUCACAUUAUGUUGAUCUGCCUAUUGUCAUUGUCAAAGCAUCUGGUUGCUUUGAACUCUCAGACCUUUCUUCCUUAUUCUUAGGUCUGGAUUCUACUCCAAGAAUUGAACUGUUGACAUCAUCAAAGUGAAGAGUGUCAACUAUAUUGUUAUUUGUAAUGUUGAUGAUGAGUUGAUCAUACAAAUUUGAUAUACUAUGAAGUAGAAGUUCAACAUGCUCAUUUUCUGCUAUUAUGAAAUCAGAAGUUGUAAGUUGAGAAAAUAGUGUAUUCAAGGUCUUAAUGUGAUAUGUUAUUGAUGUGGAUUCACUCAUUCUAAGAGUGUAGAGCCUCCCAUUUAAGAAUAUUAUGUUAUGAAGUUAUUUGACCUCGUACAAUUUUAUUAGAGUGUCCUAGAUCUUCCUUUGUUGCCUUCUUUUCAACAAUACUUGACAAUAUCGAGUCUACCAUUGCAAGGUGCAAAUUGGCAACAACGUUAUCAUCUAUCUCUUUUUACUUUUCGUCAGUGAUAUUUGCAAGUUUGCCAUCAAUUGUGUCUACACAAUUAUCUUUUCUUAAAAUUGCUUGUAUCUUCAAUUUCCAAAGGGAAGAAUUUCUCCUGUUGAACUUUUCUAUCUCAAAUUUCGAUGUCAUGGUUUUACACCAACUUUUUUUCUUUAAGCUGGUCCUAAAUAAUAAGAAUUUUUUUUUGAUGUGGAAAAUCAAUCUAUAUUGCAACCACAUAACAUACUAAUAUUUUUCUUACCACUCCACCAGUUUGCUACAGCGGAACAACUAUCACGAGCCAAUGGCUCUAAUACCACUUGUGGCUAUCAGAGUAAUAAAAUAUUAUCACGUAAGUAAAGUAAGUUUUGAGAAAAAAGAAAAAUGAACACAAUAUUUACGUGGAAACCCCUCAACAAAUAAGGAGAAAAAUUAUAGGUUAAAAGUAUAGAAUUUUCAUUAAGUGGAAGAAAUUACAGGACCCCUUUAUAAAUACAAGAAGAAUAAAAUUACCACUCUAUUUUAAAAAUAGGAGAAUGUUAAUACUAGGAGAAACCUCACCGGAUAAACCAUCAUUUUUCUCUCGGCAUCGUUUCUCUCACUCUCAAGAAGUACAUGCACUUGUUCUUGUUGUUGCUGUUGUUGUUGUGUUUCUCACUUAUGUGACAUGAUUGAAAUGAUACAACGUGGUUGUUAUUUUUAGGACCAAAAGAUUAUUGUCCCAUAAAAAAAAUUAAUGUCAUUUAUGCAAUUUCAAAUUUGUGCAACAAUUACCAAUAGAAACUAUUGAGCCAACGUGUUUGACUUGGCACAUAAAUUGCUUUACACGUUCAAAGGAUCCAGCGAAGGAACAUCAUCAAAGGGAACAUAUCUCUUGAUUUGGUAUAAAAAAAAAAAAGAGUUUGUUUAAGAAUGUUCGUAAUAUACUUAGAUUGAAAAAGAAGAUAACCUUUGAACGAGUAAUAAACUUCCAUCCGCAAGAAGUAGUGAAGAGUUACUAAUAUUCAAAGAAAUUGGAUAAUAAGAAGAAAAAAGUGGGAAAAAAAUUGGUUUUAUAUUUUACAAAAUGAUCAUUAGCACAUAAAGUUAAAGUAAUCAUUAGUUUAAAAAAGGACAAUUAUAAAAUUUUGUUAGUACAAUUUUUAUAUAUUGUUAUUGUUAGUAGAUACAAGUCCGUGAGAAUCUGGUCUCUUGGUGUCUAAAUAAAAAAUGACUCUCAUACUUUCCACGCCUCAUAUUAAUGAUUAAUAUUCUUUGAUCAAUUUAUGCAUGCAAUCAAACUUGGAAGAAUAUCAACGACCAGUCAUCAAAAGAAUCAGGAAAAUAAUUUAUGCAAAGGGGGCAUGUAUGCAUCUAAAAAAACAAUUUUUACUUUUUGUCUUUUUUUCUCUUUUCUACUUUUUACUCUCCUUGUGAUUGCUCACUACUAAUUAAAUUACUGAUUGCUUAAAUAUUCGAAGAGACUGAUUACUUAAUUUCUACAGAAUCUAUUUAGUUUUUUUAUAUAAAAAAGUACUAGAAAAGAGGCACUGAGACACAAUUAUAGAUAGAAGAACAAGCUUCCAUUAACUCUUUAUCAAGAUAAAUAUUAAUACUCCCAAGAAUAAUAUCUACAGAAUUUAAAUAUCCAUAACACUAUUGUAGAUAGUUAUUUUCUCUGUAUUAAAAAUCACAAGACAGAUUUCUAUAGAUUUUUUUAGAAAAAUUUCCUAAGAAAUUUUCGUGCAGAAAAAUUCACAACAAAUCUCACAUGUUGCAAAUCAGGUUUAUAUUUUCUCACAUCUUUUACUUUCAUCUCAAAGCACAGAAUUCAUGAGGAAAUAAUACUAGAAAGAGUGUGAAAUAUGAUUUGAAAAACAAAGUAGGCUAACAUGAGUGUGAGAUACUUCUUGAAUAAUACUAGAAAAUGCAGUUUGUUGCCCGCUUGCUUUCUAUUCAUGUGUAAAUAAUUUUUUAUAUAUAUAAAAUUUGAAUCAGAUUGAACUAGAAAUAUAUUUGUUAACUUGGUAUUUGAUAGUUCUUGUGAGUAUAACUCAGUUGAUAAAGACAUUACAUUAUAUAUGCAAGGGUGAGUUCAAACCCUAAAUUCUCUACUUAUUCACCUUAAAGGUGAAAUACUAACCACUAAGUUAUUUGAAGAAAAAAAAAAUUGGUCUUUGAUCAAUAUGAUGUCAAAAAUCUUCUUGAAUAUGAGGUCAGCAGACAACAAAGGACCAUGGCGUGUUGGAGCUGGUUAUAAAACUCACCUCUCUUUUACUUUAUAGCCCUAUAUAAUUCCCAAACUUUGAACCCAAUUCCGUGUACCUCUUGCCAAAAUAUUCCUAUUCUUUUCAACAUGUCUAAAUGAGAAUGUUUUUCCCUUUUUACUUAUUUAUUGAGCUUAUCAAGUUACACGAAUCAAGAGUAAAAAAUGUGAGAAAAAGAAAGAAAAAAAAUUGAUGGAGAGAGCGCUCUUAUCCUUUUCUAAAUUCUUAUGGGUCUUGCUAACCAAUAUUUCCGAAGCAUUGGUUAAGAAAACCCUAAAUACGUAUAAUUUUUGUCUUAAAAAUAUAAUUUGUACUUUUGACCAAAUAAUAAUUACACGAUUUUUUUAUGAAAUUUUUUGGUUGCUUAACUAGUGCCUAUAGGGAACUCUUUUAACAUUUCUUGAUCCUUAUUGGUGAUCAAAAGCAAGAAUGAAGCACAAGAAGUCUAAGACCUUAUACAAAUUGUGGUAUAGAGAAAUAAAUAACUAAUUAAUUAAGUUGAGAAAAAGACAAGAGGAUGUUGAAUUGUGUUGGUUUCUUUUUCUCUUUGAUAACUCUUUUUCAACGAUAAGACUGAAGAUAAAGUGUAGGAAUGUAAAGAGUUAAGGGAUAAGAGAAACAACACAAGAAGUUAUCUUAGUUCACUCCACAAUCUGAUUCAAUCUCUAAAUACUUUUGAAGAUUUUCACUAUAAUCCAACUGAUUACAAAAACACGAAGACACCUACUUCUAGAUUUUCCCUUGCCUCAAACUAGAGGAUUUCCUAACCUCAAACUAGAGGAUUACAAGUUUACUAAAUAAUAUUUUGAAUGUUUACACGGACUCAGAGAGUAGUAAACUAAUUGAGCGUAGUACAAUUAAAUUGUAUUUCUUUGAUAAUUUUUUUAUAGUUUCUCGACAAGAUUGGAUAGGUUCAUAUAUUCUUAAGUUUGACCCCUUCUCCUGUAAAUGUCAUUCCUUUAUGGAAAAUGCUAAACUUCCUGAGAGAAACUGUCCCGAUAACAUCAUGAAUCAACAUGAUUGGCUAUUCAACAAUAAACAUUGUGUUUACCGUUAAAGUCAACUAUUGAAGUGGUUCAUUUUAGCACGUAGUAAUGCAUUCGGGAUGAUUUCGUGAACAAUUAGUUCGUUGUAUAUAGCAGUGUUCUAAUAUUUGUUAGUUCUCAUUUCCCCAACAGAAUUUAAGUGCAUGUAUUUCUCAUCAUUUUACCUUGCUCUACCCUUACCAAAAAAAAAAAAAAAACUUGCCCUCCACCUCUAAAAAUAGAAUAAACUUGCUCUCAAUAGUAUUAUGUAUUCUUGUCGUAAUGAUAUAAUGAUAUGCAUUUCUCAUUAUUUUAACUUUUCUAUAUGAAAUACAAGUUAGGAAUAUUUCAAUAUUAUUUAUUUUGUUGGUUAUUUAUUAUUUAAAAAUAAAAUAAUUAUGUAGAAUAACACUUACAUAGAAACAAAUAUAUGUGAAGGUCAUCGUGAGUAAAUUAAGACGGAAAAUUUAGUUAUUGCAUUAGAGUGAAAUCAUGAGAGUGUUCUUAAACAAAUCAGGCAAUUUAGUUACUGCAUAAAACAGCUUUAGAACAUAAUUUACAUGGUUCAUAACUCUUCUUUGCAUCAGAGAUGUUAUAUAAGAGAAACUAGUAGCGACUAGUGAGAGUACAUACUUCAUAUAUAUAUUAUUACUAUUAGUACACAAACUAGUAGAGAGUACAUAUUUUGGGCACUCAAACUAUAAACUACUUUAUUUAACUACAAAUAUUCUCCCCUGGGCUACAGAAGACUUUGAUUUAAAUAUGAUCACAUGCCUUCGAGCUUUUUUCUACAUACAUAUAUACCAUAACAUGAAACUGAGACCCACUUAAAAUUUAAGGCAAAGUAGUGCUUAAAAUUUAAAGGGUCUACCCCAACGGUUUUGGGUCCCCUUAGGGUAACUUACAUUCGAUAUAUCAACAAAGUAAACAGUUCCAUCCUUGCUAACCCCAGAAGCACGGUCUUGCAUGCUGAUCCUUCUUGUUGGACCAUAAAACUUGUCUAUUAAAGCAAACCCUUCUAAGCCAAUCUUCCUUAGGUCUGAUGAAGGAGGUGCCAUUGAUGCUAAAUGUUGGAGGUCAAUAAAAUGCUUCUAAUCUAUCAAAUAUAUGUGUGUAUUGAUUGAUGUUGGGUACUUGCUUCAAAUGAGGAGAGAGCCACAUUCCCU